rnacentral:rRNA from 1 species
GGUUCCCCAUGUAAUGGCGAAUGAACCGGGAUAAACUCAGCAUGGAAAUUGGGGCCUUUGGCUUUGACUUGUAAUCUGGUGAGGCAUUGCCAACAGAGGCGCAUAUGUAAGUCUCUUGGAAAAGAGCAUCAACGAAGGUGAGAGUCCUGAUUGUCAUGUGCAGCCCCCCUGUGCACGGUGCGCCUUCUAAGAGUCACGUUCCUUGGGAUUGGAGCGCAAAUUGGGUGGUAACUUUCAUCUGAAGUUAAACAAGGGUUUGGGACCGAUAGGAAACAAGUACCAUGAGGGAAAGGUGAAAAGGACUUUGGAAAGAGAGUUAAAAGUGCCUGAAAUUGCUGAAGGGGAAGCGAAUGGAACCAGUAGUGCUGGGUGAGAUUGUCACAUGCUACAAGGAUUGGUUGCUGCCACAACGCAAGUGUGAUGGCAAUUUGUGAAUUGCUAGUGUGUGGUGUGUCUUACCUAGUGGGUCAUUGUAGGUUUAUGCAUUAAGAUAAGUCAAAGCAAGCGGGAGCAAGUUUACGAGUUUGUGAAUGUGUGUUGUUAUGCUUGUGCGUAAGCUUUAAGGUUUGUCUGGCUGCAGGGCUGUCCAUCCUCGAGCUGAGGGUUGCGAUGAGCAUAACCUACUGCGCAGAUCUUG